rnacentral:rRNA from 2 species
UCAGCUCGUGUCGUGAGAUGUUGGGUUAAGUCCCGCAACGAGCGCAACCCACGUAUUUAGUUGCUAACGGUUCGGCCGAGCACUCUAAAUAGACUGCCUUCGUAAGGAGGAGGAAGGUGUGGACGACGUCAAGUCAUCAUGGCCCUUAUGCCCAGGGCGACACACGUGCUACAAUGGCAUAUACAAUGAGACGCAAUACCGCGAGGUGGAGCAAAUCUAUAAAAUAUGUCCCAGUUCGGAUUGUUCUCUGCAACUCGAGAGCAUGAAGCCGGAAUCGCUAGUAAUCGUAGAUCAGCCAUGCUACGGUGAAUACGUUCCCGGGUCUUGUACUCACCGCCCGUCACACCAUGGGAGUUGAUUUCACUCGAAGCCGGAAUACUAAACUAGUUACCGUCCACAGUGGAAUCAGCGACUGGGGUGAAGUCGUAACAAGGUAACCGUAGGAGAACCUGCGGUUGGAUCACCUCCUUUCUAG